rnacentral:rRNA from 1 species
UUAUUUGAAACAGGAUACAACCUCGUACACCGGGUAAACAAAAGGAUAACAAAACCAAGUGGGCCUAAAAGCAGCCACCUUUAAGAAAGCGUUACAGCUCCACCACACCCAACCCAAAAUCAUUUCAACACCCAUCAACCCUUAACCCCUACUGAACCAUUUUAUACUACUAUAAAAACUAUUAUGCUAGGACUAGUAACAAGAAUUUGCUUUUCUCCUUAAUAUAAACAUAAACCAAAACGGACCAUCCAUUGGCAAUUAACGUUAAUGAACUAAUUAUAAUAACAACCCUGCUAGAAAACUCUAUAUUUUAUAACGUUAACCUUACACCAGAAUAUUAAAGGAAAGAUUAAAAGAAAAAGAAGGAACUCGGCAAAUUUCAACCCCGCCUGUUUACCAAAAACAUCGCCUCUUGAUUAACAUAAGAGGUCCAGCCUGCCCAGUGACAAUGUUCAACGGCCGCGGUACCCUAACCGUGCAAAGGUAGCAUAAUCACUUGUUCUUUAAAUGAGGACUUGUAUCAAUGGCAUCACGAGGGUUGUACUGUCUCCUUUUUCUAAUCAGUGAAACUGAUCUCCCCGUGAAGAAGCUGGGAUUUUAAU